rnacentral:rRNA from 1 species
UACGGAAGGGGCAAGCGUUGUUCGGAUUCACUGGGCUUAAAGGGCGCGUAGGCGGCUUGCCAAGUCAGUGGUGAAAUCUUUCGGCUCAACCGGAAAAUGGCUGCUGAUACUGGCGGUCGUUGAGCAGUUCAGGGGCAGAUGGAACAGACGGUGGAGCGGUGAAAUGCGUAGAUAUCGUCUGGAACGCCAAAGGUGAAGACAGUCUGCUGGGAACUUGCUGACGCUGAGACACGAAAGCCCAGGGGAGCGAACGGGG